CUGAUAGACGUUGUCAGUUUGAAGACGGCGACGAUGAAACGUUCCGACGCUGGUGGAUGUGGCUGCGGCCGAUUAGGUAGAUGGUGGGGUAACGGCCCACCAUGCCGAUAAUCGGUACGGGUUGUGAGAGCAAGAGCCCGGAGACGGAAUCUGAGACAAGAUUCCGGGCCCUACGGGGCGCAGCAGGCGCGAAACCUUUACACUGCACGCCAGUGCGAUAAGGGAACCCCGAGUGAAAGGGCAUAUCGCCCUUUCUUUUCUGAACCGUAGGGAGGUUCAGGAACAAGAGCUGGGCAAGACCGGUGCCAGCCGCCGCGGUAAUACCGGCAGCUCAAGUGAUGACCGAUUUUAUUGGGCCUAAAGCGUCCGUAGCUGGCCAUGCAAGUCCGUCGGGAAAUCCACCCGCUUAACGGGUGGGCGUCCGGCGGAAACUGCACGGCUUGGGACAGGAAGGCUCGAGGGGUACGUUCGGGGUAGGAGUGAAAUCCCGUAAUCCUGAACGGACCACCGAUGGCGAAAGCACCUCGAGAGGACUGAUCCGACAGUGAGGGACGAAAGCUGGGGUCUCGAACCGGAUUAGAUACCCGGGUAGUCCCAGCUGUAAACGAUGUUCGCUAGGUGUGUCACUCACUACGAGUGAGUGAUGUGCC
rnacentral:rRNA from 1 species